UUAAACACAGCAAAAAAAAAAAAAAAAAGCAAACAAAGAAAAGGACUAUUUCCGGUCAUGAGUGGAGGAGGCUACGACAUCUUCAACACUUGAGCUUCGUUUGAGAAGACGCAAGUCCACCCUUUGCAACGAGAAUAGCUUCAGCUCUUCUGGGGAAGCUUUCCACAAGAUUUAGGAGUGCGUUUAUGGGAAUUUCGGACCAUUUUUCCAAAACGUUGCAUUUCCGAGGUCACAUGCCGAUGUCGGGCAAUAGGGCGAAGCCGUCCGUCUCUGCUCUAAUUCGUCACAAAGGCAUUCUGUUGGAUUCCCGCUGUCAAUAACAGCCGCGAUUAAAUGUCUUAUCAAUGUC